rnacentral:rRNA from 1 species
AGUCACUGACAUUAGAUACCCGCGUAGUCCAGGGUGUAAACGCUGCGGGCUUGGUGUUGGGGGUCCUUUGAGGGCGCCCAGUGCCGGAGAGAAGUUGUUAAGCCUGCUGCUUGGGGAGUACGUCCGCAAGGAUGAAACUUAAAGGAAUUGGCGGGGGAGCACCGCAACGGGAGGAGCGUGCGGUUCAAUUGGAUUCAACGCCGGACAACUCACCAGGAGCGACGGUUACAUGAAGGCCAGGCUGAUGACCUUGCCUGAUUUUCCG